AGUUCCAGCAUUGCCCAAAAGUCCAGACCAAGUCCGAGUCUCAUCUGAGACUCAAGUCAAAUUCUUGCUGUGAGUCCCUGUAAAAAUCAAAAGCAAGUUACAUGUAUUCAUUACACAGUGGCACAGAGUAAACAAACCCAUUCCAAAAGGGAGAAGUAGCGUAGAGAGUAAAGAUGAGGCCAAAGUAAGACUGAAAACCAGCCAGGCAAACAGGUCUGGUAACUCUGCACACAGCAUCUAGGACAUGUGGCUGGAGAUGUUCUCUCCCAAGGGCUUGGACAGCCCUACCCCUUUGGUCCUGCAGAUUCCAGUGCACAGGGGCUGUCCUUUAGCAUGACUGUCUGCAGUCAGCAACUUUUCUUGGCAGACUGUCCAUGUUACUGGCAUCUCUUAAUUCCUGGGGUCUCCAUUCCAGCUUCAGCUUCACCUCAUAGCUUUAUGCAUCACCCUCUCAGGGGAUACCUGCAGGUUCUCUCACCCUGUUACACACUGCAUGGCCCCCCAAGAUUUACUUUGAAAUCUUGGUGGAAGCAUCCAUGACCCCUUAACUCUAGUAUCCUGCAUUCCUGCAGAACCAGCACCACAUGAAUGAUGCCAAGGUCUGCCACCAGCUUGUGCAGUCCCUGGGUUCCUGGUAUCAUGGCGGUGGUGCCCUCUGAGUGCCUGUAGCUCGGCAUCAUGAAAGAAUUUCCUAGAUCCCCCACCUCCCAUCAAGUAGAGGGUCCCCAUUAUCUAGUCUUUUUUUUUUUUUUGGGGGGGGGUAACCAGGGA
rnacentral:lncRNA from 1 species